UUUAUUUUAAAGCACUUUGGAAGGAAGGAAGGAGGGAAAUGUACUGACUGAACCAAGGUGGCCUAAUAUUUUAUAAGCUUAGGAGAAAAAAUUCCGUUUUUCCCUCCAAGACACAUUUCCCUGAAAACAUGUUUUUUUUGUAUUUAAAAAAUAGAAAUCUUUGUUACUUUUGGAAAAUACUUUUAUAAAGGUAAAAAUGUUUUCCAAAUUUAAGUCUGGACAUCUCAAUUUAUUUUAACAUUGAGAGUUAAGAAGCUAUUCCAAAAGUACAUUAAUUUUACUUCUCAGAUGAAAUCAAUGUAGAAAUAUUUAAAGUUGGAACAUGGUGCCUUUGGAAGUCCAAACUAUUCUGCUGGAGAUGUGGCAAGACCUUGGAGGCACUCCAUGGAAUGAAGGGCUACGUAGGGAAUAACUGAAGCACCCCAGUCAAUAGCACCAAAGCCCCAGACAAGUGAGAGAGACCUUCCUAAACGUUUUAGCUCAGCUUAGCCACCAGCUGAAUGCAGCCACAACAGCAAACCCAGCUAAUAUCACUUGAAGCAGCUAUAGAAAAUAGUUGAUCUGGAUGUCACAUAACCUCUAUCUUAAGCAACCAGGUGGUUGACUGAAUUUUUUUGAUUAUCUUUUCCAUGAUUCUGUUGUACUAUGAAAGUGGCUGGACUUAGCCUUUAUUUUACAAGAAAACUGAAGAUCUAGGCGUAUGAUGCAGCCAAUUUUCUGAUUACAGACCAUUGGCCAAGUUUCUUGGGAUUUACUACAUAGACAAUCACAUCAUCUAUGAAUAGAGGCUGUUUUGUUUCUUCCUUUCCAAGAUAAGAAAUGAAGAGAAGAAGCUGCUUCUAGAAGCUGUGGAUGUUUGUCCCCUUGGUGACCUGAAUGACAAAUGUGGGUAGGACAGGAAAUGGGAAAGUGAUCUGCCUGCCAGAAUAUCAGCAGAUGUCCUUCUGGAUGCAUCAUCUGUAUUGCACUAAAAACACAUGGAAGUUGUUUUUCACAGAGGCAGAGCUCUGCCCCAAAGUUGGCACCAGCAUGGGAGAACACAGCAAGAAGGCACUAGCUGUCAACAAGGAAGUGAGCCCUCACCAGAACUCAGUGAUGCUGGCACCAUAAUUUUGGACCUCCCAGCCUUCAGAACGGGCAUUUUCCAGUUCAAAUCAUGGAGCUUGGAAACCCUGAAGAAACUGGUGGCCUAGUGCCAUGGUAGUCUCACUGAGCUGGAGAGGCAAACAUCCAGGACUUGAGGGGCCAAGUUCCUGGAGAAAAGGGAACCAAACAAAAUUGUAGGUCCUUCUGGUUGUGCUAUAUGGGAUGCCACCUCAGCAUGGUUUGAUGAGCAGUGCCAUGUCCGCACCUAGGAUCUGAACCAGCAAAACGCCAGGCCGCUGAAGCAGAGCACCGAACUUAACCACUCGUCCAUGGGGCCAGCCGUUGGAGGAAUUUGUCAACAGUAACUUUGAAAGUCAGAAGACAGUGAAGCAAUGCAUUAGAAAAUCUGAGAGAAAGCUAUUUUCUAUCCUUGGUCAAUUAAGUUUGAGGUAGAAUAAAGACAUUUCAAUCAUGCAAACUCCUGUUCUCCAGAAGCUGCUGAAGGAUAUGCUCCACCACAGUACGAGGUUAAAUCAAGAGAGAGGAAGACGUGACAAUCAGGAAAAAGAGUGUCUAGCACAGAAAAUGCUAGAGUGAUGGAUUUACCUAUAGAAAACCAGUCCAAAUUAGAGCAAAAGGACUCCAGGAUGGAGACCUCCAAAAAAUAAACAUGAAGUAAUAAAAUAAAAUAAACUGAUGCUUUUGACUAUGUGGAAAAUAGAAUUGAAACAGUUUUUUGGCAUCUGUUAUUAUAUCUGGAGAAAAUUAUAAUAGGUACAUAGAAAACUAAGCAAAUAAAAGAAUGAGGCAUCACGAAGAAAACCAAAAUUUGUAUAAAAAGAAACUAUCAUACUACUCUGUCUGCCUAACUGUGAAGAAUAUUUACAUAGAUCUAACAAUAUAAACAUUAAAUAUUCAUUUAACAAAAAUAAUGAUAUUAAAUUGAUAAUGUCAAUUAUUAAAUUGAUAUUUUGGGAUAAGGGGAUAUGGGAUAGGGGAGAGAAGUCGGGACAUAGAAAAAUUCUCAUCUGCCAUAACAGGAAAUCAACAGAUAAUUUCUAAAACAGGUAAAUAUAAAGAGUAUUAACAUUCAUGAAGAUAAAUUCCAGAAGAGAAAGCUAAGAAAGAGUACUGGGGCAUAAGUAGAUGUAUAGCCUGGGACCACAUUUUUCCUUUAUAAGCCUUGUAGUACUAUUUAACUCUUUAAACUUUGUGCAUUUAUUAUUUUAAUAAAAAUUAGUUUUCAAUAGACUAAAAUUAUCACUAAAUUCCACUACUACAAUGGUGACAGGAAACUUCUAAUGAACUUCUAUAGUGUAUCACAAUACUUACUAAUAAUCUUUACAUUACUUAUAGGACAAAGAUCUCAAGCUUCUUAGCUUGAAACCUAUAUCAUUUAGCUCUUGCUGGGUAACAAACUACCCCCAAACUUAGUGGCUUAGAACAGUAAGCAUUUCUCACAAGUCUACAGGUCAGCUGGGUGCUUCUUAUCUCAUUAGGGUCCACUCAGGUGUCUGAGAUUAGUUGAGGAUCAAGUAGGCAGCUCUCCCGAUAUAGACAGCAUUCUCUUACAUGUUUGGGGAUUGCUGGUUCUUGGCUAGUCUAAGAUGUCUUUGAUUGGGACAACUGGGCUCUCUUCCACAUUGUCUCUUAUCCUUCAGCCUAUUAGCUGGGCUUGUUCACUUGAUAACUAGUCAGGGUUCCCAGGGGUGAAAAUGGGUGUAAGAUCUCUUGAGUCCUAGACUCAAGAUUGGCACACAAUUACUUCUGCCUCAUUCCCUUGGUCAGUGCAAUUAUAAGGCCAGCCUCGAAUCAAGGAGUAAGGAAAUAGAUUUCAUCACCUUAUGAGAAGAGCUACGAAGUCACAUUGCAAAGGAUGUGGACAUGGGGAGGAGCAGAGAACUGUGACCAUUUUCUCAAUCGGUCUCCCUCAACACUCAAGUUCCCACUUUUCCUUCCUACAUGAGUUUUCCCAAGUCCAUAUACAUUGUCUUAGUCAGUUCAGUCUGCUAUAACAAAACUACCAUAGAUCGGGUGGUUUAAACAGCAAAGAUUUAUUUCUCACAGUUCUGGAGGCUGGGAAUUCCAAGAUCAAGGUUCCAGCAGGCCCAC